AUCACUAUUGAAACCACCACUAUCAGUAGCGCCACAACAUCCACAACACAUCCUUCAACAAUGACAUCAACUGCUGCUGGAACCACUACUGCAGGAGUUUCCACAACAGUACCACAGAUGACAACUACUGCAGUAACUUCUGUGAUUCCCCCUUUAAUCACUAUUGAAAGCACCACUGUCAGUGCAGCCACAACAUCCACAGCACCAAUAGCUACAACAACACAUCCUUCAACAGUGACAUCAACUGCUGCUGGAACCACUACUGCAGGAUUUUCCACAACACCGCCACAGACAACAUUUACUGCAGUAACUUCUAUGAUUUCCCCUUCAAUCACUAUUGAAAGCACCACUAUCAGUAGCGCCACAACAUCCACAACACAUCCUUCAACAGAGACAUCAACUUCUGCUGGAACCACUACUGCAGGAGUUUUCACAACAGCACCACAGACGACAACUACUGCAGUACCUGUUGUGAUUCCUUCUUCAGCCACUAUUGAAAGCACCACUGUCAGUGCAGCCACAACAUCCACAGCACCAACAGCUACAACAACACAUCCUUCAACAGUGACAUCAACUCCUGCUGGAACUACUACUGCAGGAGUGUCCACAACAGCGCCACAGACGACAACUACGGCAGUAACUUCUGUGAUUCCCCCUUUAAUCACUAUUCAAAGCACCACUGUCAGCACAGCCACAGCAUCCACAACACAUUCUUCAACAGUGACAUCAACUGCUGCUGGAACCACUACUGCAGGAGUUUCCACAACAGCACUACAGACGACAACUACUGCAGUACCUGUUGUGAGUGCUUCUUUAACCACUAUUGAAAGCACCACUGUCAGUGCAGCCACUACAUCCACAGCACCAACAGCUACAAGAACACAUUCUUUAACAGUGACAUCAACUGCUGCUGGAACUACUACUGCAGGAGUUUCCACAACAGCACCACAGACGACAACUACUGCAAUACCUGUUCUGAGUCCUUCUUUAACCACUAUUGAAAGCAACACUGUCAGUGUAGCCACAACAUCCACAACACCAACAGCUCAAACACAUCCACAAACAGCUACAACAACACAUCCUUCGACAGUGACAUCAAGUCCUGCUGGAACUACUACUGCAGGAGUUUCCACAACACCGCCACAGACAACAUCUACUGCAGUAACUUCUAUGAUUUCCCCUUCAAUCACUAUUGAAAACACCACUAUCAGUACAGCAACAACAUCCACAACACAUCCUUCAACAGUGACAUCAACUGCUUCUGGAACUACUACUGCAGGAAUUUCCACAACAGCUCCACAUAUGACAACUACUGCAGUACCUGUUGUGAGUGCUUCUUCAAGCACUAUUGAAAGCACCACUGUCAGUACAGCCACAACACCCACAACACCAACAGCUACAACAACACAUCCUUCAACAGUAACAUCAACUCCUGCUGGAAAUACUACUGCAGGAGUUUCCACAACAGCACCACAGAUGACAACUACUGCAGUACCUGUUGUUAUUCCUUCUUCAACCACUAUUGAAAGCACCACUGUCAGUAUAGCCAUAACAUCCACAACACCAGCAACUACAACAACACAUCCUUCAACAGUUACAUCAACUGCUGCUGUAAGUACAACUGCAGGACUUUCCACAAUAGUGUCACAGACAACAUCUACUGCAGUAACUUCUGUGAUUCCCCCUUUAAUCACUAUUGAAAGCACCACUGUCAGUAUAGCCACCACAUCUACACCACCAACAGAUAAAACAACACAUCCUUCAACAGUGACAUCAACUGCUUCUGGAACUACUACUGUAGGAGUUUCCACAACAGCACCACAAAAAACAUCUUCUGCAGGAACUUCUGUGAUUCCCUCUUCAACCACUAUUGAAAGCACCACUGUCAGUACAGCCACAACAUCCACAACACCAACUGCUACAACAACACAUCCUUUAACAAUGACAUCAACUGCUUCUGGAACUAAUACUGUUGGAGUUUCCACAACAGCACCACAAACAACAUCUUCUGCAGGAACGUCUGUGAUUCCCUCUUCAACCACUAUUAAAAGCUCUACUGUCAGUACAGCCACAACACCUACAGAUACAACUACAGGGCCCUCAACUACCAGAACAACUGCUGCUGGAACAUCCACCACCAGUGGAAUAUUUCUCACAACAGUGCCACAAACACAAACAUCUUCUUAUGCUUCAGCCACUGAAUCUUCAACAGUCUUUGAAAGUAUAACAUCCAUACCAGGUUCUGCCACUAGUGGAGCAGUUACCAUGACAUCACCUCCUAUGUUUGUUUCAUUCUCUCCAUCAUCAAAUGUCUCUGAGAGCACAACUCUUAGUACCAUUGAAACAUCCGCAACAACAACAUCAAAAGGAUUCUCUGCACUAAAAACAGAAACUUCUGUUUUUACUUCAGCAACUCCCUAUUCAACAACCUUUUACUCUACGACUGGUAGCACAGCUGGAACAUCAUCAAAUUCAUUUGCCUCAACCACUAAAAAAACUAGUCUCUCAACCACUAAUGCAUCAACAAGACCCUUGACAUCUAAAUUUAUAGUGCCUACGACUACAAUUACAAAAUUUGUACCUGUGUAUCUAACAGAUUUGGUGUUCCGCUCUUUUGACAUAUUUAUAGUUGAACUCAAUGAUUCAAACUCGCAGGCCUUCAAGUCAAGAGCUGAGCUUGUCAGAUCUCAGCUUAGACCAAUCUACAGAGCAAAAUAUCCUUCUUUUAUCGAAGUGAUUGUCUUGUGUUUCAGACCAGGGUCAAUCAUCACAGAAACACAAUUAGUUUUCAACUCCACACAAUCUGUUCCAACCAUUCAAGAGAUUUCAGACACCCUCUUUAUAGCAGUGAUAAAAGGAGAUGUCAACCCCCUAAAUAUAAUUCCAUAUUCAAUUUCAGUCAAUGGUUCAGGUAAGUUUGCUUGCAUUUCAGAACAUAUCUUGAAAAUUCUGAAAGUCUUAGAAUUACUGUGCCUACUGUAGAGAUACGUAUCACAGACCCAGUAUGAUCUCUGCCCAAGCUUAUACAUCCUUGGUGACCCUUGCCCUUUAAGUCAUGAUAAACAGGC
ensembl:lncRNA